ensembl:lncRNA
CUUUGUUCCCUCUUCUGGACGGUUUCGUGUUUGCUUUGAGCACCUGCCAGCGGCCGAGGCAACGUAACGGUGUUUCGCAGGUCUGACCAAGUCACUCAGCUGAAGACCAUGCCAGGGCUGAUUUGGGCUGUUGAAGUGGUAAUGUUCCUGUUUGCUUCUGCUGCAGCUGAGUACAAAACUGGAUCCACAGACGUUGUGUUGCGAGGAACACGCCAAGACACAGCGCUCUCAACUGAGCACUUCUCAGUAACAACCCUUACUGAGAAGUCAGAAGAGGGGAACAAACAGACAUCUGGCUUUCUUUUGAUGGCGUUUCUGAAGAAGUCUGACUACCCAGCGCUCAGAAAUCCUGGAAACACUCAGAAUGAAGCUUUACUAGAGACUUGUCCACAUGUUGGUUUAAACACUGUCGUCCUAGGCUACUUUUUCUUAUGAAGGAAAUGUCAGCGUCAUCUGCAUCACUCACUCGCCAUCUCCCCCAAGCAGGUGACGCAUAGUUUACAGCCUAUACUUACAGAUGCAUUUGAUUUAGGUGCUGUACUAAAGUGGAAGUGUCAAGGUGAUUCAUCUGUCUGCCACUGCUGACAGCUGUGUUACACGGGGUGCCCUGGGUAGGAGCAUUGUUUGGACUGAAGAAGUAGGUAUUUCAGUAUCAAAGGGAAAGGCUUUCUUUGUCAUUACAAACAUAGCACUGGCUUUUGACCCGUGUUAACAGAAUAGCCUGUAUAUACAUUGUGUUGCAUAUGCGGAAUAUGUUUCCAGGAUUCUGCCCCUACACCAAGGACUGUGACUUUGUAAACUCGUUUGAAAAAAAUCAAGCUCCCAUGACGAAAUGAGAAAAGGGAAGCAAUUACAAAUGUAUUGGUUUCAUAAGAAAGUAAAUAAUUUGAGCGUUAUACUCUUGGAUCUGUCGCUUCUUGUUUUAAAACAACAUGCACUACUAGCUGAAAAUGUUAAGAUUAUUUAAUUUUCCUACAAAUCUUGCAAAACAUCUAUUUUAAUUUUAGGGCGUUCCUUAAGUUUCUCAGCAUAUUUCUAUCCACUUAUAGCUAAUUAUUGCCAAGUAUCUAUUUUGUGUAUUGCCACCUUUAAUUUUACCAGGCAGCUAGUUUUACAUGGCUCUUGUAUUAGUAAAACAUUUCCUAGCUAUUUCUGUUUUGUAAUCUAAUUCCUGUCUUUUCAUCCAUACAUGAAAAAUUAACCUUGCUGACCAAAUUGAAUGAUAGGCAUGUAUUCACAUAUGUAGUCUAAGGUGUCAUUUGUAAAAGAAUGAAUUAUUAGAAGAGUUAAUGGCAGCAACCUAUGAUGAUACGGUGGCAACUAAAGCUAUUUACCCAUCAUAAUCUCUGCCUUUAUGAGUUAAAAAUAGUUGUAUAUUCAAAAGUGAUCUGAAAUUCAAUGUAUCAGUUGUUGAUGUGUCAGUAAUUUAUCUGAAAUAGUCCAUAUAUUAUCAUAAUAUCACCAAAAUACUGCAAGCUCAUUUAAUAGUGUGCUACGCCGCAGAAGAAUAUGAGUUUCCAUUUUAGAAAACAGAUUAUAUUCACACUUUCACUUGGUGUCCUUGAUAUUUUGAAAAAAAACAACAGAAGACUGAAAUUCUAAUGUAUGGAUUUUUAAAGAGCUUGAAAACAAUACAUCUUGCUAUAUUAACAGGAAAAAUAAAGGCAAAGAAAAAAUAUUCUUUUCUAUAUGU